UCCCUGGACGACUAGUUCUGAGGCCACAGUGCUCUCACCGCCGCGGCCCGGGUUCGAUUCCCAGCCAGGGAA